UAGGGAAUCUUCCGCAAUGGACGCAAGUCUGACGGAGCAACGCUGCGUGAGUGAAGAAGGAUUUCGGUUCGUAAAACUCUGUUGUUAGAGAAGAACAGCGCAUAGAGUAACUGUUAUGCGUGUGACGGUAUCUAACCAGAAAGCCACGGCUAACUACGUGCCAGCAGCCGCGGUAAUACGUAGGUGGCAAGCGUUGUCCGGAUUUAUUGGGCGUAAAGCGAGCGCAGGCGGUCAAUUAAGUCUGAUGUGAAAGCCCCCGGCUCAACCGGGGGGGGUCAUUGGAAACUGGUUGACUUGAGUGCAGAAGAGGAGAGUGGAAUUCCAUGGGUAGCGGUGAAAUGCGUAGAUAUAUGGAGGAACACCAGUGGCGAAGGCGACUCUCUGGUCUGUAACUGACGAUGAGGCUCGAAAGCGUGGGUAGCAAACAGG
rnacentral:rRNA from 1 species